GAAUCCUACGGGAGGCAGCAGCGGGGAAUAUUGCACAAUGGGGGAAACCCUGAUGCAGCGACGCCGCGUGAGUGAGGAAGUAUUUCGGUAUGUAAAGCUCUAUCAGCAGGGAAGAAAAUGACGGUACCUGACUAAGAAGCCCCGGCUAACUACGUGCCAGCAGCCGCGGUAAUACGUAGGGGGCAAGCGUUAUCCGGAUUUAUUGGGCGUAAAGGGAACGCAGGCGGUCUUUUUAGUCUGAUGUGAAAGCCUUCGGCU
rnacentral:rRNA from 1 species